GGACUACACGGGUAUCUAAUCCCGUUCGCUACCCUAGCUUUCGUGCCUCAGCGUCAGAAAAGAUCCAGUGAGCCGCUUUCGCCACCGGUGUUCCUUAGGAUAUCAACGCAUUUCACCGCUCCACCCUAAGUUCCGCUCACCUCUAUCUUCCUCUAGCACAGGAGUUUCGGGCGCAAUUCCUCAGUUGAGCUGAGGUAUUUCACACCCGACUUCCUGCACAGCCUACGCACCCUUUAAGCCCAGUAAUUCCGAAUAACGUUCGUACGGUUCGUCUUACCGCGGCUGCUGGCAC
rnacentral:rRNA from 1 species